UACAUAUAAAAUUCAAGCUUAUUAUUUUAAUUAAAGUCUGGCUUUAUGCUUGGCAGUCCUGUAAGCUACUGAAUUAAACAAGAAAAAUAUUAUUAGGCUUUGGUCUCGUGAGUGACUAGUUGAAUUAUUGUUGACUUGGAAAGUUUGACUGCUGUAAAGUUAGCCGCGUAAGUAUAGUAACUCAAAGACGUGGGAACAAAGCACAGUAACUGAGUAAAAUCUUGAACAUUUCAACAUAUUUUGCAGAUGACGUGCAAUAAAAAGUCUUGAAGAGACUCUGGAAUAAACAUGAUGGCCAUUAACGGAGGACCUUCUUCACAGUGAGUAAGGUCCUGAUUUGCCGGAAUUAUCGGGGAGAUGUGGAGAUGUCAGAAAUUGAACACUUCAUGUCUAUUCUGAUGGAGAAAGAGGAAGAGUGCUCCCUCACGCCAAUCCUGUCACAUGGAGUGGUUCGAUUCAUGUGGAUCAAACACAACAAUU